CGCCCCUUGAAAAGAACCUUAAUCUAAGAUAUAAGGGGUACUGCCUGCCCAGUGACGUAGAAGUUAAACGGCCGCGGUAUUUUGACCGUGCAAAGGUAGCAUAAUCAUUUGCCUUUUAAAUGGAGGCUGGAAUGAAUGGCAAGACGGGAAUUUAACUGUCUCUUUCUUAAAGACCCUGAAAUUAAUAUUCUAGUGAAGAAGCUAGAAUAGAAUCGUGGGACGAGAAGACCCUGUUGAGCUUUAGCAGAUAAAGUAGUCGUAAUAUUUUUGUUUGAGGCUAAUUAUUAAGAAUUAAUUCUUAGACUAAAAGUUUACCUUGAAAAAAAAGAAUGUUGUAUUUUAUUUUGUUUUGGUUGGGGCAACUGCGGAGAACAAUAAUCCUCCGCUUUAUAAAGUAUAAAAGUACGUUUUUUACUAAUAAAAGUUUUUUACAAGUGAUCCACUGUAAAGUGAUCAAAGGAAUAAGUUACCACAGGGAUAACAGCGUAAUUUUUUUGGAGAGUUCAUAUUGAUAAAAAAGUUUGCGACCUCGAUGUUGGAUCGAGACUUCCUGGAGGUGCAGCAGCUUCCAAGGGUUGGUCUGUUCGACCAUUAAAGUC
rnacentral:rRNA from 1 species